rnacentral:rRNA from 1 species
AGGACUAGGGGGAGUCACAUCCUACCAAAUCCAGAUGAACUCCGAAUGCUAGUAAAUAUACCAUACAGUGAGGGUUGGGGUGCUAAGGUCCCAAUCCGAGAGGGAAAGAACCCAGACCUACAGCUAAGGUCCCAAAAUCUACUCUAAGUUGAACUAAGGGGGUCCAGUUGCUUAGACAGCCAGGAUGUUGGCUU